GUAGACCCGGCCUUUACCUCAGUGCAAAAUGCCAGGGCAUGUCCUCUGGUUGAGUUUAUCAUCGAGCAGUAAGGGCUCAGAGGGUGCUGAGAAAUGGUCCAUGCAGCCUUUGUCAGACCAUAACACGUGGGCUCCCAGUGCAAAUAAUAUCAUAAGUUUUCUUUAAACUCCUGUGUCAGCUGCUACAGAAAAGAAAGGCCUGCUCACGAUAGGAUUCAGGGAAAGGCAGCAACUGCUGAGUCAGAAUGACAGAAUUAAAGGGCUUAGCAGAUGAGGCACUGUAGCUGAGGUCCCUCAUUUACUUUGUUUAUUUAGAAACAGGGUCUUGCUCUGUCGCCAGACUGGAAUGUAGUGGUGAGAUCACUGCUCACUGCAGCCUUA
rnacentral:lncRNA from 10 species